rnacentral:tRNA from 1 species
GAAAAAUUAGUUAAUAUAUAAUAUUAAUUUGUCAAAUUAAAGUCACUAGAGUAUUUUUCU